AAAGUCGUAACAAGGUUUCCGUAGGUGAACCUGCGGAAGGAUCAUUAUUGAAUAAACAUGGUUGGGUUGUAGCUGACUCCUUGGAGUAUGUGCACACCUGCCGUCUUUAUCUAUCCACCUGUGCACACAUUGUAGUCUUGGGGGAUUGAUUAGUGACAAUUUUUGUUGCCAUGUCGUCCUCUGAGGUCUAUGUUAUCAUAAACCACUUAGUAUGUCGUAGAAUGAAGUAUUUGGGCCUCAGUGCCUAUAAAACAAAAUACAACUUUCAGCAACGGAUCUCUUGGCUCUC
rnacentral:misc_RNA from 1 species